rnacentral:rRNA from 1 species
AUGUCUUCUCUUGUCAUAGUCUUCAAUGUGAAUGUCUUCACAUACCACCUUUGUCUUCAAUGUCUUCUUACAUUUUUAGGGGUCAUCUCUGGUGGGAAAACCGAAUCAAUGAGGGACUUCUACCUGUGUUAUCCUGUAAUUCUCACAAACACAUUAGUCCCUCAACUAGGUUUGUCGUCAAUACUCCAAAACCAACUAGGGGUGGCACUAGAUGCACUUACAGUUAACCUAACACUUCCUCUUUCGGUCUACGAGGGUACAUGGACACAUUCACCCCCUCUUGUUGCUAUGUAUCUCCUAGAUAAAUCUUGCGUGAUCGUAGAUUUUUUUUUGAAAUUGCAUGCUACAUUCCCCAACAGUGGUAUCAGAGUCAGGUCUAUGCGUAGAUGA